ACAUCACUUUAACGUCGUAAACAAAUAAAAAAACUACCUACCUAUAAAUGCCAUGUAGAACUAUUGGUACUUAAAUGUCCGAGUUAAACUCACAAAUAUACAACUAAUGUUAUAAAUCAGGCACGAGUUGUGCUGCUUACAUAUCCCCGUACACAAAGUCGGAUACAACGUCUGCGUAUCCAUAAGCUCCAUGUGGUCCUCGAUCAGAUUUCAGUGCCCUUUCCACGCUAUGUUGGUCCCAAACGCGAAGUCGGGAGGAAUUGAUAGUAGUUAUAUUCAGGGCCUGUUAUGCGGUUUAUGCCUACUGUGUUGGUCUACUGAUUAAAACAAUUCUUUCUGUUUAUAACGAGUGGCAUUCCUAAAUGUAUACUGUACCUCUUUUCUGCUAUGAUAUUCAGUGGCAAACUCAUCAAUUGUUGCCAGCCGGAGUUUAAUUGCUCCCUGCCAUUUAUGUUAAUAGCGUGUUUGUUGAUUGUUGUGUCUUUCUUUUUUAUAUACAAGUAUUUGAUAAUUUUAGGAUCUCAUGAUCUCAUCAGUCAACACUACCAAGUAAUGGAAUCAAUGCUACUUUGCUGUUGACAAAGACUCCACACCUGAGAAAUUGGUGUUCAACCUGACAGUCACUUUAAGGGACAGCAACACCAAGGGCGGUUAGUAGUCAGUUCUAGAACCUGACUGUUACAUUGUGUCGGACAUUCACUUGUACAAAACUUAAUGAGCUAACUAUUGUCGCCUAGGUAUUCUGUAUUUGUUUCUCACACAGCUAUGCAAGAUUGUUAUUGUGUAUUGAAAAAGAAAAUGAUUUUGUUGAUCAAGUAAAAUCUGUUUCUUUUGGUUAGGGGGUGUGGUCAGAAUUAAAAGAGAAAACUUAAUAAAGAUAAAAA